AUAUGGGAAUCUAUCUCUGUCUCUGUCUGUAGGUGUUCUCAAUAUGGGAAUCUAUCUCUGUCUCUGUCUGUAGGUGUUCUCAAUAUGGGAAUCUAUCUCUGUCUCUGUCUGUAGGUGUUCUCAAUAUGGGAAUCUAUCUCUGUCUCUGUCUGUAGGUGUUCUCAAUAUGGGAAUCUAUCUCUGUCUCUGUCUGUAGGUGUUCUCAAUAUGGGAAUCUAUCUCUGUCUCUGUCUGUAGGUGUUCUCAAUAUGGGAAUCUGUCUCUGUCUCUGUCUGUAGGUGUUCUCAAUAUGGGAAUCUGUCUGUCUCUGUCUGUAGGUGUUCUCAAUAUGGGAAUCUAUCUCUCUCUGUCUGUAGGUGUUCUCAAUAUGGGAAUCUAUCUCUGUCUCUGUCUGUAGGUGUUCUCAAUAUGGGAAUCUGUCUCUGUCUCUGUCUGUAGGUGUUCUCAAUAUGGGAAUCUAUCUG